AAUGGCACUGGAAGAAAUGUGAUAACUACAGAGGCAAACAGCGACUCUGAGAAAAUUGAAUCCACCCUCAUUUGAUCCAGGACUGGAAUGGUUGUUGGUGGAAGAUGGUGCAGAGUCUAAGAGAAUUGACGUAUUAUCUUGGAUCCCAGUGGCAAGGGAACACUUCUGUCCUACAAUAAUCUCUCCCAUCCCCAACAGGAAAAAGGUUUUUGGUGGCUUCUCCAGCAGUGACAGCUGCACAGGAAAAAUGCAGGCUCCUGGGUUCUUCAGAUGUAGUUUCAGCAGCAGUGCAACGUGAGUGCUCUAUCAUCCCCAUCAACAUAGUGCUCAGGUGCUCUGGCUCCGGCAGCAGCUGUAUUAGAAGUAUUUGAGAUCCUGCAGCAUCAGUGGAAAUGAAGAAGACUGAUAGAAGACUGUGGCCAUGAUUUACUGCCUGAAGCAAAGUACUGCCAGCCAAGGAUCAUGCUGUUUGGACUAUCAGACAGGAAUUGAGGAGAGAGCUACAAUCAUUGUGGAAAAUAUUCGGAUAGUGCUUACAUGAUACAUGACCAAUAAUAAAGAAAGCAAAAUUCUCUCUGUCUCAUUUUUUAAUCAUAAAAGCCACA
rnacentral:lncRNA from 10 species